AGAGUUUGAUCAUGGCUCAGAGUGAACGCUGGCGGCAGGCCUAAUACAUGCAAGUCGAACGGCAGCACAGCAGAGCUUGCUCUGUGGGUGGCGAGUGGCGGACGGGUGAGGAAUACGUGGGAAUCUGCCCAGUCGUGGGGGAUAACGUAGGGAAACUUACGCUAAUACCGCAUGCGCCCUUCGGGGAAAGCCGGGGACCUUCGGGGCCUGGCGCGAUUGGAUGAGCCCACGUCGGAUUAGCUAGUUGGCGGGGUAAAGGCCCACCAAGGCGACGAUCCGUAGCUGGUCUGAGAGGAUGAUCAGCCACACUGGAACUGAGACAUGGUCCAGACUCCUACGGGAGGCAGCAGUAGGGAAUAUUGGACAAUGGGCGCAAGCCUGAUCCAGCCAUGCCGCGUGAGUGAAGAAGGCCCUCGGGUUGUAAAGCUCUUUUGUCCGGAAAGAAAAGCGCCGGGUUAAUACCCUGGUGUCCUGACGGUACCGGAAGAAUAAGCACCGGCUAACUUCGUG
rnacentral:rRNA from 1 species